AUGCAAGUCGAACGAACUCUUCGGAGUUAGUGGCGGACGGGUGAGUAACACGUGGGAACGUGCCUUUUGGUUCGGAAUAACUCAGGGAAACUUGUGCUAAUACCGAAUGUGCCCUUCGGGGGAAAGAUUUAUCGCCAUUAGAGCGGCCCGCGUCUGAUUAGCUAGUUGGUGAGGUAAAGGCUCACCAAGGCGACGAUCAGUAGCUGGUCUGAGAGGAUGAUCAGCCACAUUGGGACUGAGACACGGCCCAAACUCCUACGGGAGGCAGCAGUGGGGAAUCUUGCGCAAUGGGCGAAAGCCUGACGCAGCCAUGCCGCGUGAAUGAUGAAGGUCUUAGGAUUGUAAAAUUCUUUCACCGGGGACGAUAAUGACGGUACCCGGAGAAGAAGCCCCGGCUAACUUCGUGCCAGCAGCCGCGGUAAUACGAAGGGGGCUAGCGUUGCUCGGAAUUACUGGGCGUAAAGGGAGCGUAGGCGGACAUUUAAGUCAGGGGUGAAAUCCCGGGGCUCAACCUCGGAAUUGCCUUUGAUACUGGGUGUCUUGAGUAUGAGAGAGGUAUGUGGAACUCCGAGUGUAGAGGUGAAAUUCGUAGAUAUUCGGAAGAACACCAGUGGCGAAGGCGACAUACUGGCUCAUUACUGACGCUGAGGCUCGAAAGCGUGGGGAGCAAACAGGAUUAGAUACCCUGGUAGUCCACGCCGUAAACGAUGAUUGCUAGUUGUCGGGAUGCAUGCAUUUCGGUGACGCAGCUAACGCAUUAAGCAAUCCGCCUG
rnacentral:rRNA from 1 species